AACGUCAAAUCAUCAUGCCCCUUAUGGCCUGGGCUACACACGUGCUACAAUGGUUGGUACAACGAGUUGCGAGUCGGUGACGGCGAGCUAAUCUCUUAAAGCCAAUCUCAGUUCGGAUUGUAGGCUGCAACUCGCCUACAUGAAGUCGGAAUCGCUAGUAAUCGCGGAUCAGCACGCCGCGGUGAAUACGUUCCCGGGCCUU
rnacentral:rRNA from 1 species